rnacentral:rRNA from 1 species
UACAGAGGUCUCAAGCGUUGUUCGGAUUCAUUGGGCGUAUAGGGUGUGUAGGCGGCGCGGUCAGUCGGGUGUGAAAUCUCGGGGCUUAACUCCGAAACUGCAUUCGAUACUGCCGUGCUUGAGGACUGGAGAGGAGACUGGAAUUUACGGUGUAGCGGUGAAAUGCGUAGAUAUCGUAAGGAAGACCAGUGGCGAAGGCGGGUCUCUGGACAGUUCCUGACGCUGAGGCACGAAGGCCAGGGGAGCAAACGGG